rnacentral:rRNA from 1 species
AGCUAACGCUGGCGGCAGGCCUAACACAUGCAAGUCGAACGAACCUUUCGGGGUUAGUGGCGGACGGGUGAGUAACACGUGGGAACGUGCCUUUAGGUUCGGAAUAACUCAGGGAAACUUGUGCUAAUACCGAAUGUGCCCUUCGGGGGAAAGAUUUAUCGCCUUUAGAGCGGCCCGCGUCUGAUUAGCUAGUUGGUUGAGGUAAUGGCUCACCAAGGCGACGAUCAGUAGCUGGUCUGAGAGGAUGAUCAGCCACAUUGGGACUGAGACACGGCCCAAACUCCUACGGGAGGCAGCAGUGGGGAAUCUUGCGCAAUGGGCGAAAGCCUGACGCAGCCAUGCCGCGUGAAUGAUGAAGGUCUUAGGAUUGUAAAAUUCUUUCACCGGGGACGAUAAUGACGGUACCCGGAGAAGAAGCCCCGGCUAACUUCGUG